GUCCCAGCUUGGAGGGGUGGGCCAUCAACUGCUGUGGAGCAUGGCGUGUGGGUUUGGAAAGGGAAACUGUUUACGUAGGCUCCAGCUUGUGGCCGGCCCAGCAGGCUGCCUGCAGGUUUACAGCUGAACAUUACUGUCGUGGCACUCUCCACUCUGGAGGAGCCAACAGGAGGGAACGGCCAGGGAUGUUUCCGCUAGCCCAGAGGUUCUGGCGCCGCCCUUGAGUGAUUUCAAAUUGGCAAGAGUGGUCUGAUGAUUUUCCACAGGCCAGCUCAAUCUUCCAUGCUCAUGGACCCAAAAUUUAGCAUCUGUACUGAGUCCAAAAUUCCUCUUAGGGACUCUGAUAAGCCCUUUCAAACCAGCUGAAGACUUAGCACUGUAUCCACUUUCAAGUGUGAACAAGGCCUUGAGUUGUCCAGCCCCUAAACCUGAAACUUAACUGUCUGUUUUCAGUAGGUUCUUCUUCAAGCACCUAAGCUGGUCUUGGCUCAUACGGAAGAGAAGACAUUCUUGAGCCAAGGCGUAAGGCUGUGGAAUUCUGCCCUUGGCACUCAAGCAGAAGCCUUCAUUGAGACACGGACACCCUCCCGCUCCUGCGGCCUCGUCUAUACCCGCGCUGUGAGGGGAGCAGACCUGUGCUUAAGGCAGAAGAAACCAUGCGGUGCAAGAAAGUGGCCGCCCAGGAGGAGGCGAGGGUUCUGUUUCCAUAAGAGGCGUCCGCUGCUGGGAUCCCAGAACGACAGACAUCCGUGCAAGGGUAGAAGCUGGCCAGUGCAUUAACGGAUUCUCCCCAGCACCUGCCCACGAGGGCGCAAUCUGAUCUUCGCGUAGUGAAUGUGAGUCUUGGAUAACUAUCUUCUUCACAUGCCCUGAUUCUCUAGCAAAGCU
rnacentral:lncRNA from 1 species